rnacentral:rRNA from 1 species
GACGAACGCUGGCGGCGUGCUUAACACAUGCAAGUCGAACGGUAAAGCCCUGCUUUCGUGGGGUGCUCGAGUCGAGAAGGGGUGUGUCACGCGUGAGACCCCUGCUCUUGUCUUUGGGAUACCUUCAGGACACUGGGGCUUAUACCGGAUAGGCGCUCCUGCCGCAUGGUGGGUGUUGGAAAGUUUCGGCGGUUGGGGAUGGACUCGCGGCUUAUCAGCUUGUUGGUGGGGUAGUGGCUUACCAAGGCUUUGACGGGUAGCCGGCCUGAGAGGGUGACCGGCCACAUUGGGACUGAGAUACGGCCCAGACUCCUACGGGAGGCAGCAGUGGGGAAUAUUGCACAAUGGGCGGAAGCCUGAUGCAGCAACGCCGCGUGCGGGAUGACGGCCUUCGGGUUGUAAACCGCUUUCGCCUGUGACGAAGCGUGAGUGACGGUAAUGGGUAAAGAAGCACCGGCUAACUACGUG